UUCACCAAUUUAAAAGUAAUUACCUACUUACCAGAUACCACCAAUGAGAAGUCUCACAAUAAUUUCUGCAAAGGGUCAGGCGUAAUAUUUGGGGAUCUGAAGCAACUCUUGCCCUGGUGUCUGCUGAUCUGUGGUACCGCAGACAUACAGCUCAGGAUUCCACUGAACUAGAGGAGGACCGUGUAGCUUAACAAACAUAAGCACUGAUACAUGAUCUUUGAGAACUCUUGUGCGUGUUCUUGUUAUUAUCAAGUUCAUGUGACUGAAUCCCCUCUCACACUCAGCGGAACUAAUAGGAAUAAUGUGAACAACUCAGUAAUGGGCUUAAAUCUUGGUGGAUGUGGCAUCCACAAUCCUCCACAUAAUCUCUGAAGGCAUUUAUUACAGAGGAAGAAGACUUAUACCUCUUACAGAGAGAUGAUAUUGCAGCUUCUCCAUAAUUAGGCAGUGUAUCAGCAGGCCUGCUAUCUUUAUCAAGGACACACAUUUCAUUUAGCAGGGAUUUGUACAUACUUUGAGGUUUAGAAGUUUGAGAACCUUUCAAGGAUGUUGCUGUGAACAUACAGUGCUGGAAACUGUUUAUAAGACUACUAAGAAACUGUAGAUGAUUAAUGGAGACAAUUUUGUUGUUGCUUGUUAAGGUAAUAUCUCCAAACUUCUCAUUUUCAACUGCCUCUUGAGCUUCUAGAGUUUUUGUACCAGGUUCCUCUUUCAGACCAUGCAGUGAUCUUAUACUCCGUUGGAUCAGUUUGUCAGCAUAAACAAUCGUAGUAGUGCGUUUCUGUAAACUCUCUGACAGUAAACCAAAUUCAUGCAACGUGUCUUACAUUAGAGCUAGGUCCAAUUGAAACUGUUCUGAAGAGAGUCUUUUCAACAGACCUUCAUAGGUUUUGCUGUCACUCUCAGAUCUUGUUUCAUCCUUCAUUGCUUUUUCUAAAUGAAAACACAGUGCUUUAUAAUUUUGCCACACUGCUGAAACUGUUCAAAACGAGCUAACUACCCACCUGGUGCCCAGAACAUGGUGUAUUUUGCAAAUUUAUUGUUCUAGUUGAGAGGCACAUUCAGAGAAUUCCUUUUGAUUCAGAGGUGAUCUACUGUAAACAGAAUACAAUUUGUCUAUAAAUGAUUGAAAAUGAUUUAUCCCAUGAACUUCUCUCACCAAAUCACCUAAUGCAGGUUCUAAUUGGUGAUUAAGACAGUGCCAAAUUAUCAUAUCAGGAUAAUGUUCCUUGAGAAUUGUAGCAACACCAGAGUUGACACCAAGCAUUAUGCUUGCCCCAUCACUGGCAAAUGCUACAAGGUUCUGUUUCAAGUAAGAGCCAUCAAACCCACAGUUAUUGAGACAGUUCAAUAGAUGUCUAGUAAUAGUUUCAUCUUUCUGAUCAGGCAGUUCAAUUAGAUCUAAAAACAUAAAAGGGGGAUCACCUUCCUUAUCACUCACAUAUCAAAUGAAAUAUUAGGGCGAUCUUAAUGCUCAGGCUUGUUGGUUCAUCAAUGGGUACAGAAAGUUUGCCAUUUAUCUGCUUGAUAUGCUGGCAAAUUUUCUUUUUCAUAUUAAUGGCUGUGUGAUCAAUUAUCUCUCCCAGCAGUUCAAUUCCAAUGUCAAUACCAUUAAUUUUUUGAAGUUCCAAUAAGCCAAAGUGACCAGUGUUUGGUCUGUCAUUCUGAGCUAAGUAAUAUGUAGAGAUGAAAAAUUGAACAAGUUGCCUUUAGAUGCGAAGCAUUCAUGGUGUCUCAUAAUUUUCCAAGAGCAUCUUCACUAGCUGUAUUUUCAACACUUAGAGCAGCAGUACGAGCUCUUGAUAGUUUGUGAUCAACAAUUUUUUUUUCUGAAAGACUUCAAAAGUGUACUUCGAUAAGCUCCAUAAUAGGAUACUUAGUACAUCUGCCAUUCAUUUGACAGCCUCAAACCCUUAGAAGUGAAGUGUCAGAUUGCUUUUGUUCACAGUUGCUCAUACUUUACACCCAAGUUUAUCAUCCUUGAAGUCUAACCAGGGAUUGGUUUCCUUUUUCCACAUUUCUUCAGUCCAAACAUCUGAACAGGGAUACAAGCCUGAAUUUGAAGGACCAUUACUUUCAGAGCUGCAUUUGGACCCGGUUAGAAAAUUUCAACUGGUGAUGAAAUUUUAAGGGAAUUGGGGGACAUAAGAAAUGAUUCUCUGAUUCUGGUAAAUAGCGGGUUAAAAUUAAGUACCAGCUUGUGUAUGCUCUGUUCUGUGAAAAGUUACAGGGACUGUCCUUGAUUGAAAAUGCUGCUUUCAGUUUGUUUAGGUUAACAACUCACAGCUGUCCCUUUGAGAGUGAUCUGUGGGCUGUGUUCACAUAGGCUGCAUAACAUCAUUCCCCACGAUGUCACAUCACUGAUCUAUGUUCCCACCUUUAUCUAUUCAAAUUUUACUGAUAAGGCAAGAUUUUGUCUGUAAUUAAAACCCAUGAUUUAGUGUACUCUCUUAUCUAAUUAAUUAAGUUUUGCUGUAACUGACUUGGUGGGAAUAUUCAUGAAACUGACUGUUCUUUGUUUCACCAGUUCUAUAAAUUGCCACGUUUCUGAGCGUUAGACAGAAAACGCGUUGCAAACUGCCGGGGAGAGAGAGAGAGAGAGAGACAGAGAUUCUGUCUUUCUGAUGAUCAGCUCCGAGUCCUUUCUCGCCGGCUGAGCUGGAACAAAUUAAUGGGUGAAGGGUUAAAUAAAGGCUUGAGUGUGGUGUAGUUAUUUGGUCCGGCAAAUUUAAAUUUACACUAGAAGCAGGCGAAACACAGCUUUUGGCACCUUUACUUUUAUCAGUCUCUUGUACGUUAUUCUUGUUACACUCCUCAGCUUGUUUACAAAAGAAAGAGGUUAACAUCGUUUGCUUAGAAGCCAUAGGGUUGUUAAUGAGAAAAAAUUACUUUGUUUUGGCGAGUAGUCCAUGGACCACCACAAAUGUAGCCUUACUAAUAUGACUGAGGCAGAGCAGACCGCGUUUAGUAGUGUUCCUAAGCAGGUAUAAAAAUAAGAGAAAACAAAUAAGCUUUUUACACUUUUAGUCACCUAAAUUGGAACAAAGUAAUCAAGUAUGAAAAAAGAACGUCUAUUGCUAAAGCCACAAAUAUUGCUGAAUAUUAGUAUGAAAAGCGGUCGGUUGGCAACUCUGCCUCGUACCGUUUCUCUCGCAGAAAUAGUUAGACAGGAGGAGUACCUGAGAGGGUCGAUACUCACAAUAUCCUCACACAUUGGGUGUUACAUGGUUAGACCAAUACAGAUCCUGUUUAGUCUUUAACUAUAUCAAAAGUUAAAGAAGCUUGAAUCUUUACAUAAAUUAUUAUUGUAUCUAUAUGAAUAAAAAAUGUUAUUUUGGAAGUGACAAAUGUUAACAGGGCAGGACAGCAACCAUUUGGGAGGUUUGGAAAUGCAUUUCAUCUUGUUCAUUGCCUCACUAAAUUACUCUUUUUCCUAUCAACACAAAAGAGGAAAAGAGCCUCUUUCCAAUCAGCUGUAGUUGGUGAAGCUAGGCCAAGGGGUUGAUCCGCUAUUAAUGACAGCUGAAAUGAUGUAAAACUACAAGUGUUUGUAGCUUAUAGCCUAGAAUCUUUUUUUCCGUUUGGCUUGUAAAAAAAAGAAAAAUUCACUUUAUCCAGGUGUAGAAGAGGAUUUUGGAUGAUUACCUUGAAUAUUUAACCAAAGUCAGGUCGAAGAUAAGCGAGCAGUGAUUUUUUUUCCACUAUUUUUGACUUUUAACCUUUGGUUUCAAUGUUCAUUCCUUGCUUAAUAUAGCUCCUACCUGGAAUCCAAUGGUACCCAUUGGCAAGAGCGGAAAAAUGCUCACACUUGUGAACAGUAAUCUCUGGGCUGGAAAGAGACCGAGGAUCUGUGAAAUUGCGGGAGGCUACAGCAGGGUAUACUGGGAAAGCAACGGGUCAAAUGAGGAUGAGUUUCACAAAUAUCUAAAUAAAAAACAGUCACAGUUCAAGGAUUUCACCAAAAACAAUCAAAUAUCCUAUCCUAAUGUUAUUAGUGGUAUUUUCCCCACCAGCCAUCAACCCCUCUCCGCAACCUCCGCUUCCGUAAAAUUCCCUCUAUUUAAUAUGUGGCCGCUGUUAAAUUCCCUGCUUGUUUAUUUUGACUUUUUUUUUACAGAGGUGACGGAGUGGUGCUCCAGUGAGCUCUGGCAGCUCUGCACCCCUGUCACUUCGGAUAAUCCUUAGGAGCGGAUUUUGAGAUAUCCUAUGGGACCACUUGAAGAUGAUAUUCCUGUGACAGGUCGUUUUUGGUGAUAAUUCCUAUGUGGAUUUGGAAAGACUUGACGAACAAGAUCUUCGGUGACUAUUACCUUGUUUACCUACGUGGGAACUGCAGACUACUUCGUACUUACCUUCUCUCUUCAUUACAACAUGGAUUACAAAUACCUCUCUCCCAUCAUUUAUUACCUGAAUGACGGAACUUACCUACUUUACCAUUUCAAGACUCUGAGCCUUGUUCUCCCAAGCUCAAUAGUUUGGGAGCCAUAUUUAUACACAUAUAUACACAUAGUGCUGUUAACUUUUGUUUAUCUUGGUUAAGUUACUAUUUUAUAAGCGGUUUCUAAUAAAGAUAGUGUUUUUAACAUUAAAA